rnacentral:rRNA from 1 species
AACGAACGCUGGCGGCAGGCUUAACACAUGCAAGUCGAACGGAUCCUUCGGGAUUAGUGGCAGACGGGUGAGUAACGCGUGGGAACGUACCCUUUGCUACGGAAUAACUCAGGGAAACUUGAGCUAAUACCGUAUGUGCCCUACGGGGGAAAGAUUUAUCGGCAAAGGAUCGGCCCGCGUUGGAUUAGCUAGUUGGUGGGGUAAUGGCCUACCAAGGCGACGAUCCAUAGCUGGUCUGAGAGGAUGAUCAGCCACACUGGGACUGAGACACGGCCCAGACUCCUACGGGAGGCAGCAGUGGGGAAUAUUGGACAAUGGGCGCAAGCCUGAUCCAGCCAUGCUGCGUGAGUGAUGAAGGUCUUAGGAUUGUAAAGCUCUUUCACCGGUGAAGAUAAUGACGGUAGCCGGAGAAGAAGCCCCGGCUAACUUCGUG